AAAUGGGGCCAUGAGAAUGGAGUUUCCUCCCCGGGGCUGUGCCUCUGCCGGAGACAAGGCAAGAAAAGUCAGGCACUGGUGACCCAACCCAAGGGUGUCCUCACCGUUUACUCCCAAGGACAAUGAGCACCCAGUCACCCAAAGCCCAGGGUGUCCUCUAGCGUUCACUGCAGUGGCGACUCCGGAUGGGCGCACCGCACUGUAUUACCCACCCAUACUGAAGGACGUCGGGGUCGCUCCCACGUGGAGGC